AAGUUACAAAACUUACAUAUGUGUUUAUAUGUCAUCGAUUACUUCCCUAGAACCGGUCUAUGAGGAAAUUGAUUAUAACCAAGAAACAGUUCCAAAAGAAUCUGUCAAUGAGGCAGGAAUACAGAACGAAAGUCAUAUACACAGGGGAAGAACCCACUUUCAUGAUUCACAGACGUUUGUCAAAGUGACAUGCUUCGAAUCUCCACGCUCGGAGAAUGGAUCUUCAAAACAAUUUCAGCCUGAUAGUUACAUUCAGCUACACAUGAAUAAUAAACUCUAAUGAAAGAGAUCAAACAUGUGCUUGCAGCAAGAACAAAGAAUAUUUCUCUCUUUGUUACCACGAAUAAAACUGUAUGAUAUACAGCGAAUUCCAGGUAUCUUGUUACCUUUACUAAUAAUAGAUUUAAAUGGCGAGUAUUUUAAGGUUACGCUAUUUAACCUUGAAGAAACAUUUACAGAAUCGGGUAUAACAGAUCCAAUAGUUAUUCUUAAUAAUGCUAGAAUUGUCCAUUAUUCGGGUUUGGCGUCUAUAGUUUCAGAAUUAAACUUCACACUCGAGUUAUUACCCCUCUAUUAAUCUUUCCUCAAUCCAAUGGACACAUGUUUUUCUAAAUUAAAAAAACCACAAAACAACUGUUCUUAUAGAGUGAUAAAAGAGUGAAUUACAAAGGUGGGAAAAUGAAAAAAAAACAACAACUAAAUGUAUGUCUCUUCGUCAGAGGAAAUUUCACGAUCAUGACCAUAUUUUUUAUUUGUGAAAUAUAAAAAAAUGUUAUUCUUUCUAUGGGAACUUUCCCCAUGACCAGAGUGGGGCUACAAAACAGCGUGCCGCAGAGGUUAAACCUAUGAUAAAGCAGCCACAAUGAGUGGCCGUCUGUCUGGCCUGCGGAUACGUCUGUUAGACAUAAAUUCAAAGGCAACAUUUCUGAACUGUGAUAAUCACUCUCUCAACCUGGCAGCUUUUCAUUCUGCUGAGAUAGAUCUAACAAUGGUCAUCUUUUUUUUAACUGUACAUGAAUUGUUCAACUUUUUUUUUUCAAAUUAACUUCAGAGAUGGGCCAAACUGAGAGAAGAUGAAGCCGCGAGUUUAAAAAAAAAAGAGUAAUACAAGAGAAGAAGCUAAGUCGUCAGUUUCCUUGAAUCUCGACAAACUCAUCAAGCUGUUGGAGAAACUUUCUAAUUCAAGAACUAAAAGAAUGGACGAUAGAAGCAGUACACAGAAUCUUCUUCAUGCAGUGGAAAAUUACGAAUUGAUGGCUAUCUGGAAUUCUGGUCAAAGCUCCUGUGCCCAAUUAAUAUAGUUCAGAAGAAACUACAAAAGUCUGGGAAGCUGCUGAAGAAAUUAGUACCCUUUCAUGCUUUCUGCAAAAUAAUGAAAAACUGACAAAAAUCCAAUCCAUCAAAAAAAGCAAAAGAAGGUAGUGAAUACUAUGGAUUCCCUGUAAUCAAAACAACCAGAAGAAAGAAAUGACUUGAUGGGGAGUUGAAUUCUAAUGUAGGACUGUCAAUAGAACUGCAAUUCAAACGUGUUGCGACAGAAGUGCUGGACAGAUUUCAUAUGGAGAUGAAGGGCAGAUUUCAAAGGCUGGAAAGAAAAUGGACACGUUCAGGUUUCUUCUUGAACCAAGACACCUGUUGAAUGAUGACAAACUGUGUUACUUUUUCUGUUUGAAUGAUGAAAUAAAGGUAAAUCACUCGUUCAAUGAUGUCAUUUGUACAAGAGCACUUUUCGUCAACAAACCAGUAAUAAAAUCACAAAUAGACAUAUUGAGGAAGCAGGCUUCAUAUGGUAAUGACAUUGCAACCUCCUCCGAAUACUGCUACCUCAUGCCACUUCCAAUGCGUCAUGUGAGAGAUUAUUCUCAAAGAUCAAGUUCAUCAAAAACUAUCUCAGGAGCACAAUGACGCAAGAAAGGCUUAUCACGGCUUUAGUGUCAGUGAAAUCACAAAUACUAGAAAAAAUCGAUGUAGAUGAUGUUAUAGAUGUCUUUGCUGCACAGGAUGCACGACGUGAAGCGAUAUCAAUGGAGAUUUGUCACUUGUGCAUUAUUUAGCCGAUAAACAGCGGUAUUAUUCAUUAAAAGAGUCUUAAUGAUUAUUUUUGGUUACUUUUACUGAUGUACUGUACCAAUUAGAUUUUGGGCUUAUAUAUUUUUGCGUACAUUAUCUGAUGUCAUGAUUUCCAAUAUCAAAAUGCAAGGGGCCCCCAAAGAGGUUAAUCCCACCGGGCCCCCAAAUCCUUAACUACGCCCCUGACAUGAUAAAAGCAGUUCCUGACAUCAAAGCAAGUCUAAGCAGACAAUGCACGAACACUAGCUUAACUGCUAAAGCAAUGAGGUAACGUUGUGAAGUGAAUAUAAAGUUUGGUGUAACGUUCAGGACAUUUUGAGGGAGAUUUUAUUUCAUUUAUUUUUGUAUCUGCCUUGACAAAAGUGCAGUUUAUUUGGUAUCAUCCUCAAAAGUUCUCACGAGGGCCCAAAAUGGCCAUGAGUUAUGGGCUCAAUCUCCAUUGUUUUUUCGCCACAGGCUGUGGGCUUUAAAUGUCGUGGGCCCGGGCUCAUUGAGCUUCCUCGAGCCAUGGAUGCUACGCCACUGACAGAAACUACGGUUAACGAGUUAACAGCUAGUGCACGCGCGGUAGAGUCGUAUCUCUUCAUCAAAUGUUAAUUCUGAAUAAUUGAAGAAUUACAAUUUAUUCAAGGCAUAUUUAGGACAUCAAAGUUAUUCUUUAAGUUCAAAACUAUUAGAUUACUACGUCAGAUAAACAUGCAUAACUAUAUAUUACUUUUUCUAAUUUUGUGAUUACAGUAAUAUCCCUUUGAGCAUAUUUUUGUUUUCUAUUUUAAAUCUACGAUAAUUGUAGAGCAUGCUUUGUUACGGCUUAAUAAAACAAAACUGUUUCUAAUUGUUAUUGUAGUCAUUCAGCUAAAGUUAUGUACUUAAUAACAUUUUAAUAUAUUAUUCAUCUUUAUUUUGACAGAGCAGCAAGUCUCGGUUUAACUAAAUCCUUACUACAGACACUUAUUUAACCACAGACUUCUUCUCAACUACCAAGGGACAAAGGGGUUCAGAAUAUAAUGCAAUUGUUAGCCGCCAUGGCAGAAGGCGGGAUCAGAACCGUGGUCUAUCAUAACGACAGCUCGGAUCGCAUACCACAUGAAAAAGCAGCCAACCAGGAUUAAUACUUUUUGGCAGAAGUCAAGUGAUACCUCUAAUCCAUGAAUCUCAAAGCUUCCAGCUACCAGUAUUACGUUGUUUUUCAUGGCAGCAGACCAAUUAACUUGCUUGAUAAUGUACUUUCCAUUUCUACGUGUAACAUGAAACUAAUGAUUCUCUUUCUUGCACCUAAUUUUAAUAAACAUCACGGAACACAAAAGCGUAUGUAU